UUUUUUUUUUUUUUUUUUUUUUUUUUGCUUUGCUUAACAGACUAAAAUUGUUAAAAUAAUAUGAUAAUAACAAUUAAAAAGUAAGCAUUUUCUCAUAGCAUUAAAUCCUUUUAAAAAUUGCUGUUUGUCUAGGAGAACAGAAUGCUACCAAACAAUGUAUGCUUAGCAGACUGCCUUGUAUAACCAAAUGAAUCCAUUGUUAUCACUUCUUUUUGAAAAUGAGUCAUGCAGUCAUUUCAUGAUGGGUGUUACGGCAUGGUCAAAAAAUAAUAAACGAUAAAACAAAACAAAAAAUGCUUGGUUUUAUCCUUCAAAUGGUUUAGUUUUGAUGAAAAAGAGAUAGGAGAAUUAAAACCUAGCCCACAGGCUCCUAUUUUGUUCUGCCUCAUUUUAUUAUUAUUUGUAUAAUGGCAGCACUCUGAGGUCCUGGUCAGGAUCAAGGUCCCACUCUGUGAAGUAUUGUAUGAAUGCAACGUUCUCGCCCUGAGGGGAAAAAAAAAAAAAAAAGAAAGAAACAUUAAAUUCUUGAUUAAAAGAAAAAAAACAAAAACCAACAACCAAACAACAAAAACCAACCCAACAAUAAUAAAGCACCCUAAACCAAACUGUGACUCAAAUUUUGAAGUCAAAGUAGUUCCUCCAUUUUGCAUCUGCGUAGAACACCAACAGCACGCCUAUGUCCUAGCCUCUCCACAGUACAUCUGGUAGGCAAGGGAUUAUAGGUGGUAAUGACUAGAAAAGAAGAACAAAGUCAGAACAGCAAAGAAGCAGCAGGAUAAUUCAAAAAACUGAAACAUACAUACAUACAUACACAUGUAUAUAUGUGUAGCAUUGUAUACAUGCAUUUGCUAAAGACUUGUUAGAGGAAAACUAUCAAAUAAAACUGGAGAUUGCUUCAGUCAAAGAAAAGUUAUCUAUUUAACAGCAAAGGCAGAGAAGCACCAGAACCAUUAAAUUAAGCUUACAUCAAUCAAUUAAUUAAUUAAUUAUACAAUUAUAAUUUUGUAAACAACUUCUCCAUUGUUUUGCAGUCCACAAAAUAAUGGAUGAGUUUUUUUUUUUUUUUCAAGGAAGGCAGCAGUACGAAGUAUCACAGUUAACAAAAAGUUCACCCAGUCCUGUUGAUAUUUGUACUCUUUCUUUUCAAAGAGAACAAUGAACAGUAUUUUAUUGAAAAAGAAUUCAAAUUACUUAAUCUUGGAGUUUGUACUCCCUUAGAUAAUCACAUAUAGAAAUAAAUGUACAGUGCAUCCCAUCACUAAACCAUAUCCUUCAGUUCCACAUCCACAGAUCCCUUAAAUAUCUCCAGGGAUGAGGAAUCCACCAAUUCUCUGGGAUAUCCAGUGCUUGACCACACUCUUGGUGAAGAAAUUCUACCUAUACCCAAUCUAAAACUCUACUGGUACAAUAUACAACAUAUAUUGUCUUAUAUAUAUAUAUAUAUAAGAUCUAUGGGAUGAUAUUUUUGAUUCUGUUCCAAGUGGUUAAUGAGAUUAUGUAUGUUUAAAUUGGCCAUGGUGUAUCUUUCAUGAAUAUCUUCACAGUGAAGAAACUAUGGUGUUAUACUACAUGGUCAUGGAAGCUCCUGUACCACCCUCAGGCCUGUGAUCAAUAAAGGCUUUGGUUUCUAAAUGCACUGGAUCAAUGUCAAUAAAAACAAUUCAAGGCUUCCUUCUGUCAUCAGGCUGGAAAAUCUCUUUGUUGGUAUAUGACUGCAUACAUUUGUUCAUCUUCAUCACAAAAACAAAUACAUAUUUUUGAAUUUUUGUCCAAGGAAAAGGGGAAUCUUACCUGUCCUCAGUCUGUAUAAAAAAACUAUGUAGACCUCCUCUUUAAUGUGUGCAGUACCCAGGACUUUUGAAAAAUGCACUGACACAAUUCAAAUACUCAAUUAAAACAAACAAACAAACAAAAAACAACAAAAAAGAGUCUAUAUAGACAUGGUCAAUAGUGGAUCGUGUACUUUAAGAAAUGAAAAACAUUGUCUUCACAUUUGCUAUUAUGAUUUAUUAAACAAAUUCCUGAUCCUAACAGCAAGUAAAAGCUAGCAAAGUGCAACUGGCUUUAUGGAAACAUAAAUGCUGGUUCAGAGAAAGUAGUCUCCCAGCCAUCAUCAUGUGCAAUAGAUCUUUCAAGGCACUAGACACCUGACCAGAGUGAUCUCAUGACCUGCUGUUUGAUACUCUCUAAAAUCUUUGUCUUGACUGCUCAGUGAGAAAGUUGUAGUGAAAUGAAAUUAUAUCAACACAUUGGAACCCUCAUAAUCAGGCUACAUGCAGAAAUAGACAAUGCAGACUACUUGGGUGGUUGCAGUGUGUAACCUCCAUUUAUCUGGUUAAGGCAUACCCAAGGUGACGUAGAAGCAUUUUAAAUGCCUCAGUGAAUUGUGAGCUAGAUGCCCAAUCAUAAGACACUGAAAUGGAGUCCUGCAAGUACUAAUCUAAAUCCUUUUCAGAGACAACUGCAUCUGUGAAGAUAAUUGCAAUACUAUAAUUUUACUCUACUUUCACCAUCUCUAUCUCUUUCAUCAUCUCUGCCUUAGCCUCUACAAUCAAUAUAUCACACACAGAAAAAAAAAAAGGGAAAAUAAAAUUAUG
ensembl:lncRNA